CACUCAUGUCUUUUAAGGCAUCUCUACAAUGGAUUCUUGUCUAUGACAUGGAGCAAGUACAGGGGAUCUCACUCUCAUUUCAUGGAAUUAUACGUUGUCUCUCAUGUCUCUCUUAUCUCAGUGUAUCCAAGAACAAGAGAUAUUUUCUGGAUGUUUUCUGGGGUUCCAGAUAAAUUGAGGGAGGAAAUCUGGAUGGCAUGUGGGCCAAACCCGUACUCCAAGCUGUGCUGAACAGGCAGGCGGCAGCUGAAGCUGCUGGAGCUUGGUACCCAGAGGAACACAUGAAAACAAAUUUCUGGAAGAUGUACAUGAAGCUGCACCAGUGGAUGUUCAGGCUGGAUAUGAGGAAAGGCUCUUCACCAGAGGGCAGUGGGCAUGGAACAGGCUGUCCAAGGCAGCAGGUACCACCGUAAGUGUUGGAGUUCAAGAAGUGCUAGGACAGUGCUCUCUCAGACAUAAGCUUUGGAUUUUGGGUGGUGCUGUAUUGAGCCAGAAGUUGGGCUCAGUGUUACCUGUGGGUCCCUUACAACUCAGGAUACAUUGUUUUAUUCUGUACCUGUAGAAAUCCCUCUUGUCACCCUUCACAUUCCUGACCAGAUUAUUAUCCAGGUGGGCUUUGGUUUUCUUAACAUGGCAUACUCUUGCAGUGUCUGUGCUUCUCUUGGAUUAUAUGACUCUUCUUUGAUUUUUUAUUUUUUUUUUAAUACCCUGAGCAUAUAUGAGAAAGGGAGUUAUAUUGAAAUCUUCCAUAGCAUUCUGUGUGAUGAUCAUACUUGCUUAACUUUUUGAUGUGCAUCACUGCUAUGAGUAGAAAUGUUACCUUACAGAUUUCUGGGGGCAUUUGGUUUUAAAUAAGAUAAUUCUUGUAUCUCAUUUGUGUUAGAACACAUACUAGUGACUGAGCUCCAUAUUUACUCUGAGUGACAGUACACAUACGCAUUCAUUGACAAAGUUGUUUGCAUGACCCAAAGUAGGUAUCAUACAUCAUACAUUAGCUUUUUCAUUUCACCUUCACUCAGACUGGCUUUAUCUUUAGCUUGUUUUCAGUAAAAAUUAACCUGUCAUGUCCAGAAAGUUUGAAAUCUUCUUAAACCAUCUGUUCUUUCCUGACAAGGAUUGUAUGCCUAAUGCAAAUGUGUUAUUUAUUGUGCUAUUUCCCCUGCUCAUGCUCCUAUCUUUUCUGCUGCCUUUUAAAAUUCAUUAUUCUUUCCCUAUUUUCUAUUAAAAAUCCGUAUAGUACAGACAUAAUUUAUGGUACAUGCAUAUCAGAAUUUUAUUCCAGAUUUUGCAUGAUUAAUAAAAUUAAAAGCACGAAAAGCUGAUAAUUUCCC
rnacentral:lncRNA from 1 species